rnacentral:rRNA from 1 species
GCUUGCACCUUUCAAGUGAGUGGCGAACGGGUGAGUAACACGUGGACAACCUGCCUCAAGGCUGGGGAUAACAUUUGGAAACAGAUGCUAAUACCGAAUAAAACUUAGUGUCGCAUGACACAAAGUUAAAAGGCGCUUCGGCGUCACCUAGAGAUGGAUCCGCGGUGCAUUAGUUAGUUGGUGGGGUAAAGGCCUACCAAGACAAUGAUGCAUAGCCGAGUUGAGAGACUGAUCGGCCACAUUGGGACUGAGACACGGCCCAAACUCCUACGGGAGGCUGCAGUAGGGAAUCUUCCACAAUGGGCGAAAGCCUGAUGGAGCAACGCCGCGUGUGUGAUGAAGGCUUUCGGGUCGUAAAGCACUGUUGUAUGGGAAGAACAGCUAGAAUAGGAAAUGAUUUUAGUUUGACGGUACCAUACCAGAAAGGGACGGCUAAAUACGUGCCAGCAGCCGCGGUAAUACGUAUGUCCCGAGCGUUAUCCGGAUUUAUUGGGCGUAAAGCGAGCGCAGACGGUUUAUUAAGUCUGAUGUGAAAGCCCGGAGCUCAACUCCGGAAUGGCAUUGGAAAACUGGUUAACUUGAGUGCAGUAGAGGUAAGUGGGAACUCCAUGUGUAGCGGUGGAAUGCGUAGAUAUAUGGAAGAACACC